AACGAACGCUGGCGGCAUGCCUAACACAUGCAAGUCGAACGAGACCUUCGGGUCUAGUGGCGCUCGGGUGCGUAACGCGUGGGAACCUGCCCUUAAGUUCGGAAUAACUCCCCGAAAGGGGUGCUAAUACCGGAUAAUGUCUUCGGACCAAGGAUUUAUCGCCUUUGGAUGGGCCCGCGUUGGAUUAGCUAGUUGGUAGGGUAAAAGCCUACCAAGGCGACGAUCCAUAGCUGGUCUGAGAGGAUGAUCAGCCACACUGGGACUGAGACACGGCCCAGACUCCUACGGGAGGCAGCAGUGGGGAAUAUUGGACAAUGGGCGAAAGCCUGAUAAAGCAAUGCCGCGUGAGUGAUGAAGGCCUUAGGGUUGUAAAGCUCUUUUACACGGGAUGAUAAUGACAGUACCGGGAGAAUAAGCUCCGGCUAACUCCGUG
rnacentral:rRNA from 1 species